GAUGAAUGCUAAAGACUAGAAGACAUGAGAAUUGAAAAUCAUGUCUUGAAAGAUAACAGUAGGGA
rfam:Nematostella vectensis strain CH2 x CH6 NEMVEscaffold_339_Cont24281, whole genome shotgun sequence.